rnacentral:rRNA from 1 species
UACGUAGGGUGCGAGCGUUGUCCGGAAUUACUGGGCGUAAAGAGCUCGUAGGUGGUUUGUCGCGUUGUCCGUGAAAACUCACAACUCAAUUGUGGGCGUGCGGGCGAUACGGGCAGACUGGAGUACUGCAGGGGAGACUGGAAUUCCUGGUGUAGCGGUGGAAUGCGCAGAUAUCAGGGGGAACACCGGUGGCGAAGGCGGGUCUCUGGGCAGUAACUGACGCUGAGGUGCGAAAGCGUGGGGAGCAAACAGG